UCCAAUUUGACGUAUGUAGCUUCCUACUUAAUCAGUAGGUUUAGGUUAAUAAUAUUCUUCGUCCCCAACCAGUUUGCUUAUAUCUCAAACUUUAGAUUCAAUUUCCUGGAUCUUUCGUUUUUCUUUAUUUACUUAAGGCGACAUUCCUAAGUUUGAACUGCUAUUAGGAGUGAGUUUUUGGGUGUAAAUUUUCAGCAAAACUCUAUACUAUUACUACCGGUAUCAAACCCUCGUGUUUUGCAAACAGGUCACGUCUAAUUUGUAGCUACAUGUUCUGAGAAGCAAGCAAGAAAAUAAAGAAUACUAUGGUAGCUAAUACAACUUGCGGAAAAAGCCGACCUAGCCCUGCAAUAUAU